rnacentral:lncRNA from 1 species
GGAGUGACGCAGGCCCUGGGCUACAGCAACCUUACCAGCCCCUCCAGCUUAGAGGUGGCAGUGGCUCUCUGCGGCUGCGAUUUCUUUCUCGGAGCGUCCUCCCCAUCCCGUUCGGCCUCUGCCUCCACCGUCGUCUCUGUAACCCGUUCCCUGUGGGAGAGUCUCUGUUGCGGUGUUCAGGGGUUUCGGUUUUCUGGCUGAACAGUGAUUAACGCGAGGGAAGGCGCUGACGGCAAGGUGGCAGGAAGAACAUUCCAACACAGACCACAACACCUAUGGACCUGGAAAACAUUGUGCUCAGUGAAAGAAGCCAGACACAGAAGGACAAUGUUGUAUGAGGUCUUAUUCUGUUGCCCAGGCUGGACUGCAGUGGUGCAAUCCUAGCUCACUGCAGCUUCGACCUCCCGUGCUCAAGUGAUUUUCCCACCUCAGCCUCCCGAGUAGCUGGGACUACAGGUGCGUGCCACCACGCCUGGCUGAUUUUUCUUGUAUUUUUUUGUAGAGAUGG